rnacentral:rRNA from 1 species
AAUAGAUACCCCGGUAGUCCACGCCGUAAACGAUGAGUGCUAAGUGUUAGGGGGUUUCCGCCCCUUAGUGCUGCAGCUAACGCAUUAAGCACUCCGCCUGGGGAGUACGGUCGCAAGACUGAAACUCAAAGGAAUUGACGGGGGCCCGCACAAGCGGUGGAGCAUGUGGUUUAAUUCGAAGCAACGCGAAGAACCUUACCAGGUCUUGACAUCCCACUGACCGCUAUGGAGACAUAGUUUUCCCUUCGGGGACAGUGGUGACAGGUGGUGCAUGAUUGUCGUCAGCUCGUGUCGUGAGAUGUUGGGUUAAGUCCCGCAACGAGCGCAACCCUUGAUCUUAGUUGCCAUCAUUUAGUUGGGCACUCUAAGGUGACUGCCGGUGACAAACCGGAGGAAGGUGGGGAUGACGUCAAAUCAUCAUGCCCCUUAUGACCUGGGCUACACGCGUGCUACAAUGGACGGUACAAACGGUUGCCAACCCGCGAGGGGGAGCUAAUCCGAUAAAACCGUUCUCAGUUCGGAUUGUAGGCUGCAACUCGCCUAC